CAUCUUUUUUAGUUUUCUAAGGUGGAAGUUUAGAUUAUCGACUUUAGAUCUGCCUUCUUUUCUAAUAUAUGCAUUCGGUGCUAUAAAUUCCUCUAUAAAAUCCUCUAAGCACUGCUCCCACUGCAUCCCACAAAUUUUGAUAUGUUGUAUUUUCAUUUAGUUCAAAAUACUUUUUAAUUUCUCUGGAGACUUCUUCUUUGACCCAUAUGUUAUUUAAAAGUGUAUUGUUUAAUCUCCAAAUAUUUGGGGACAUAUCUUCAGACUCAUUGAUUCUUUCCUCAUCAGUCUACUAAGGAACUCAUCAAAGUAUUCUUUAUUUCUGUUACAGUGGUUUUUUUUCUUGCAUUUCCUUUUUGUUCUUUCUCAGAGUUUCCCAUCUCUCUGUGUACAUUACCCGCCCAUUGUUGCAUAUCACCCAUUUUUCCCAUUAGAGCCCUUAGCUUUUUAAUCAUGGUUGUUUUAAUUCCUGAUCUGACAAUCCCCAAAUCUCUGCCAUAUCUGAGUUGGUUCUGAUGUGUGUUUAUCUGCUCAGUGCUUUUUCUUUAGCUUGCCUUGUGACGCUUGUCCAGAGCCUGCCAUGCUGCGUCAGUGACAGGAGCUGAGCUACAGGGACCCUUAGCAUUUUUGUGGGUUCUGUUUAUGUGGCGUCCUUUCUCCUCACGUUGCUCUGGCUGCUGCCUCCAGUGCGUGUCGGAAGGAAAUGGUGGGAGCAAUCAUUCUUACCUUGUUUCUUACCUUAAAAGGAAACUGUGUGAUGUUUGACUAUUAUGCAUUAAAUUAACUGUAAAUUUUUUUGAAUGCCCUUUAUCGGAUUGAGGUAAUUUCCCUCCGUUUAGCUGUGUUCUUCCAGUUUGGGUUCUUCUAGUUUGCUGGGGGAUUUUGGGGUUUGUUUUUAAAGAUCAUGAAUGUUUGUUGAAUGUUGUCAAAGCUUUCUAUACCUCUGUUGAGAUGAUCGUAUGAAUUAAUCUUUUGUUCUGUAAUCCUGUAAAUUACAAAAAUUGAUUUUUAAAAUUAAGUCCUUUUAUUUUGGAUUAAUUGAGGACACACUCAGUUGUAAACCGUAAUGCAGAGAGAUCACGUUCACCCUUUUCCUAGCUUCCCUCCAAUGGCAACAAUGCGGAAAACUGUGGACCACGUCACAGCCGGAACCCUGACACCAGUACAACCAAGUACAAAGCAUCACCCUCACCGGGUGCCCACUCCCAGCCACGCUCCGGGCCCUCGAGCAGCAGUUUUAACGUCUUGUCCAGCGUUUAUGGUUGUGAUCUUCGGGAGGACCGGCUCCGGGGAGGGGCUGCUCUGCACAAGCGGAACCUGCUCCUCUCUGUGGGUGUGUUACGGAAGUUUCCACAUUUCUUCACCUGUGGAAAGCUUCCCCCCAGUUUUUCCUUUAUCUAUCAUGUUUAUUCCCACGAAGAGUUUAAAAAGUGUGACACAGUUAAUUUUAUCCGCCCUUCUCUCAGUGCCUCUGGAUUUUGUAUCCAGAGGUGUCCAGGUCUGCUCAGAGCAGUCUUCUUCAUCCCAAGAUCAUAAAAAUGGGCACCUCUACUCUCCCCAUGACCUCUCUUUCCUUCUUCUUUCACAUUUAAGUCCUUGAUCCAUCUGAAAUGUAUUUAAUACAUGGAAUGAAGAAUAAAGAUUGGAGUUUGUUUUACCAAAUGGAUAAUUGUUUAUGCUAAUAUCACUUACUAAAUAAUUUAUCAUUUAAAUAUUUUAUUGUGGGUCCUUAAUGUUAACUCUUAAACGUCAGUACUGCUGUUGCUGUUUCACAGAUGAGGUAUCUGAGAUCAAGAUGAAUAAGUUAUUCAAGGUCACACAGCUAAAAACUUGAAAAGCCGGAAUCAGGUCAGGUUUGCAGGCUCCAUGCUCCACCCCCUCCCCUUCCCAACUGUAAACCACCUCAUCUAAUGUCAGAGCUCCAGGGGCCCGGGAGCUGCAUCUCCGGGAGAUGGCGAUUCGGGGAAGCUGCCAACAGCACGAGAGUUUGCGGGCUUAGAGUCCAGAGCUGCCGGAUGGGAGACGUUGUGUCCUUGUGGCACGGAGACAGCUAUCCUAAGCAUCUCAGCCCACACCAGGUUUGGCUUCACGUUGCACUAGCAAGAUUCUGUUGUCAAUUUCAAAGUCGUGUAUUGCUAUCUGAGAUGCACUGAUUAGAUUCAAAUGGGAAGACUUGGGAGAAAUAGGAAGAUUUCUGCUUAAGAGAGAGGAGAGAGGGAGUUGGCUGGUGGCUGGUACAUUCCUUCCCGUUAUCCCACACUUUUGUGGUGGGAAAAAGCUUGCGUUGCUGCGAGGUGAGAUGGAGGAAAAGCAGUUGGCUUGGCAGACAGACCAUGAGGGAUUCUCCACAACGGGGCCCAGUGGGAAAGGCCAGUUCCUCUCAUUACCCGUCACAUUCCACAGGGAAAUCAGCUGGAAAACGUGACAUCAUGUCCAGUCUCUGAGUCCUGAAUGAGUCUGUGGUUCCUGACCCAGGAGAAGAGCAUGUGCUGUUAAAUAGCAAAGUGCGGGUGUCAUAAUGCAGGGCUCUGGGACAUCCAGGGCCCUCUUCACACCGCUUCUCCUCGGAGCCCCUGGGAGCAAGUGACACAAGUGUGUAUGCGAAAACAUGCCAGAGUCUCCAGUGGACCCUGGACCUCAGGAGUCUGCAAUAUGGGAUUCACGGUGGAGCACGAUCUGUGAUAGUGGUGGAGACUGAGCACAGGGAGGGUGCACUGGAACGUUCCCUGGAGGUUAAGCCUUAGACGUCAGCAUCUGGCCCACGCUCAUUCCCAGGUGCAGAUGGAGCCAUGGAGGGUCUGGAGCUGUGGAGUGAAGGAUGCGGCUGUGCAGCCGGGUGCAGAGGGAGCCAUGGAAGGUCUGGAGCUGUGGAGUGAAGGAUGCGGCUGUGCAGCCGGGUGCAGAUGGAGCCAUGGAAGGUCUGGAGCUGUGGAGUGAAGGAUGCGGCUGUGCAGCCGGGUGCAGAUGGAGCCGUGGAAGGUCUGGAGCUGUGGAGUGAAGGAUGCGGCUGUGCAGCCGGGUGCAGAUGGAGCCGUGGAGGGUCUGGAGCUGUGGAGUGAAGGAUGCGGCUGUGCAGCCGGGUGCAGAUGGAGCCAUGGAAGGUCUGGAGCUGUGGAGUGAAGGAUGCAGCUGUGCAGCCAGGUGCAGAUGGGUUUGGGCUGGUGGGAGUGGAGGCUCAUUCGAGCUGAGAGGACAUUGAAAGAGGCUAUGGCCGAACUGCCCAUCCUCCAUUCGGUGAUGGAGACGUGGACUGUGUAAUGGGGACUGAGGGAAGGGCAGAAGCAGGUGCGCUGACACAGAAGUGACAACCCUGCAGGGCCCUCAACGCUCCCCAUUGCCUUCAGUGACCAGGCUCGAGCUCCGCCCUGCUGCACGUCUGCUCCCUGCCUCUCCCUCCAGCCUCACCUCUUUCCACCUCCACCCAUCUGUGUGCCUGAUGCUGAGCGUCUUG
ensembl:lncRNA